UUUUGAGCUGUGAAUCAUUUUCAGAGAUGUGAAUCUAAAUUUCUUAUCUGCUACUCAGUUGCUGUCUUGUAGAUAUAGUGCCAAACUUGAUAAUAUAACUGUUGCAUGGAUUUUUCUUCAUUACAAGCUAUUUUUGCGAGUUGAGACGGUUGCUCCAACCUCGACGGUGAUGAUGGAUUGAGCGGUUCAGCUAUUGGUCCUACCUGUCUCGACUUACACUCCUUCGGGAGCAGCCGGUCAAAGGAAAUACAUUGACAAGCAGUGAGGGCGCAACGUUGAAGAUGACUGACUGGGGCUUGGCCCGGUAUACCUGGUGGCCAGGGU